rnacentral:SRP_RNA from 1 species
AAAAAUUGUUGGUUCAAGCGGCUCAACCCACUAGGCAUUUAUGGGUAGGCAGCGCACCGACUCGUUAUCCUUCCACUGCCGUGAGCGGGUAGUUUUCGUUGCUCUGUGAAGCCAGCCUGACGCAGUGCCCACCUCUCUAGGAGCCACCUGAGUCAGGCCAACGCCCAAUUCAGAUGGCUCAACUCACAGCUUGGAACGGGCGGACCAGCAACAUGCACCCGCAAACCCUGCCAAGGGAGCCGAACCGAUGUUCCAACAAUUCAGUGCCCUCACUCGAGUUACAAGCUAGCGCGACCUAGCUCGGCGGCGAACAUGGUUCUUAGCUUGGUUAUAAAGCGA